rnacentral:rRNA from 1 species
UGCGUGGAGCCAACCUUGAAAUACCACCCUUUAAUGUUUGAUGUUCUAACGUUGGCCCCUGACCGGGGUUGCGGACAGUGUCUGGUGGGUAGUUUGACUGGGGCGGUCUCCUCCCAAAGCGUAACGGAGGAGCACGAAGGUUAGCUAAUCCUGGUCGGACAUCAGGAGGUUAGUGCAAUGGCAUAAGCUAGCUUGACUGCGAGCGUGACGGCGCGAGCAGGUGCGAAAGCAGGUCAUAGUGAUCCGGUGGUUCUGAAUGGAAGGGCCAUCGCUCAACGGAUAAAAGGUACUCCGGGGAUAACAGGCUGAUACCGCCCAAGAGUUCAUAUCGACGGCGGUGUUUGGCACCUCGAUGUCGGCUCAUCACAUCCUGGGGCUGAAGUAGGUCCCAAGGGUAUGGCUGUUCGCCAUUUAAAGUGGUACGCGAGCUGGGUUUAGAACGUCGUGAGACAGUUCGGUCCCUAUCUGCCGUGGGCGCUGGAGAAUUGAGGGGGGCUGCUCCUAGUACGAGAGGACCGGAGUGGACGCAUCACUGGUGUUCGGGUUGUCAUGCCAAUGGCACUGCCCGGUAGCUAAAUGCGGAAGAGAUAAGUGCUGAAAGCAUCUAAGCACGAAACUUGCCCCG